rnacentral:tRNA from 1 species
GCCGCCGUAGCUCAGCGGGAGAGCGCCCGGCUGAAGACCGGGUGGUCGCGGGUUCAAGUCCCGCCGGCGGCA